AAGUCGUAACAAGGUUUCCGUAGGUGAACCUGCGGAAGGAUCAUUAACACGUAUCCUUCAUUGUGCUCCCCCAUUCCGUUAGGACGCGGCAAUCCCUGGUAAAUCAUCGCCGAACAGUUUUGAUUCAGGGACCUCUGCAUGGAGUGGGCAGCAGCGCGAGGCAAGUGGCCUGGCAUUCGAAAGAAUGGCGCAGUAACGAUCGCUAGAGGCCGACACGGCCGGCGACCGGGUCACUGGGCUCACGCCCCCCUAUCACCUUUGCAUGAAAACGGGCCUGCGCUUAAUUGUGCGGCCACCAAACUCGAACAACUGUUAACAAUGGAUAUCUUGGUUCUC
rnacentral:misc_RNA from 1 species